rnacentral:lncRNA from 1 species
GAUUUAGUCAAACUCUGCACCAGCAGUGUACCUUGAUGUAGACCACAUAAGAUAACUGUAACUGAAUUCCAUUGCUGCAUUACAUGAUCUACACCUCAAGUAGAAACUUGUGUGAAGUGAGGAGGACCUUAUGAGCAUCACUUUCUAAUUAUUAUGAGCAUAAAUUUCUAACCUAUGCAAAAAGAAAGAGCCAGAAAAAACAUGGUGCCAGAUCCAGUCUGUGACAUGAAUGAGAACACCCUGUGAUAAUUAUAUGAGCCUCCCUUUCUGUUGGAUGACAUCCAGCAGCAGUAUUCACCAGACUUUUAAUCACAUUUCAUAAAGACACUCAUGAAAGAAUGCUUCCAGAGCUGCUUCAGAAAGGGACAAGAACACUGGGCUAAGUGUGCUCAAAGUAAAGCAAAGUUUGAAAAACAUCUCUUCAGUGUUAAUAACUUUGCUAGAUCUUCUAACAGAAAAUCAGACUGAAGAAUCCUGUACAACCAAGUGAGUCACGGCGUGUCUUGCUGGAGAGUCAAUAGGGGAGACCCUUCACUCCAAGCACUGCUCCCACCCAAACAACAUAUUGUGCACGUGCUGGUGUCAUCAAUUGUGUGUCUUUUCUUGUACUUCAUUUGCAUAAAAGUAUCAUAAGAAUGGCUCCAAAGAAAGUUAGUGAAACCAGCAGUAAAAAAAGACAGGAA